rnacentral:rRNA from 1 species
GGGGGGGGGGGGGGGGGGGGGGGGGGGGGGGGGGGGGGGCGGAGCGGUCGGGGGGGGGGGCGGGCGGGGGGGUAGCGCGUGGGGACGUGCCUUUAGGGUCGGGAUAACUCAGGGAAACUUGUGCUAAUACCGAAUGUGCCCUUCGGGGGAAAGAUUUAUCGCCUUUAGAGCGGCCCGCGUCUGAUUAGCUAGUUGGUUGAGGUAAUGGCGCACCAAGGCGACGAUCAGUAGCUGGUCUGAGAGGAUGAUCAGCCACAUUGGGACUGAGACACGGCCCAAACUCCUACGGGAGGCAGCAGUGGGGAAUCUUGCGCAAUGGGCGAAAGCCUGACGCAGCCAUGCCGCGUGAAUGAUGAAGGUCUUAGGAUUGUAAAAUUCUUUCACCGGGGACGAUAAUGACGGUACCCGGAGAAGAAGCCCCGGCUAACUUCGUG